rnacentral:lncRNA from 1 species
CAAGCUAGAAAGCGUAGUUAUAAUCCUAAGUGGACUAGACUAGACGCGUCCGCAGCGCCUUGGUGUUCAUUUGCGGUUAGGCUACUUCAUUCGGUUGCCGCUGACUGCCGCUGAGAUAUGAGCCAGUCGGUUGGAGCCAAUCGGUUCUUGGAACUUGAAAGUACACGUACGGCUAGUUGUCGGGACCCCUACCUGUGUAAGAGGAAGACAACGGCAGAAAAAGGGGCAAUGCCCGACCGACUUGUGGCCAACAACUGAAGAAUACAUAAAACUGAAGAAAAUACAAGGCUUGGGCGAUACAUAUGAAUCAGCUCAACACAUCCCUACAUGCUGCAUGGUGGACAAUUGCUCCCCCAAACAGCGCUUCACGUGCGUGAGCCGCCACAGACAGCACCUAGCGGCACCUGGCGGUAACCACGUGCGCCAACUACUCCACUUAAAACAGCACCCAGACUCGUGAAAGGGAGGGAAAAAAGGAAUGCAAGCCUAGACAAAACCGUCCUGACACUGGUACGGCCCUAACAUCCAAUGCGGUGGGCAGAAACAGCGGACUGACAGACUCGACAUGUACAAGGUGCGGGGGCUAGAUGGCGGGAGGAAAAGAUGCAGCAGGGCUCGUGAACAGAAAUAGAACGCAUGCAGUAUGACUGCUGCCCCUACCGGGCGUAAGGGGGAAAUGUAAAACGAACAUAAGCAGGGCACCAGACGACGAACACGAAGCCAGUAACACGUUAGACCUGGGCCCAUGCCGUGUGUGGUGUUCUCAAUGCGUGCUUACUACUACGGCCUCGUAUGCACACACGAAGCCGUAGUACACACAAACAUACAUACAUACAUGCAUACACAUGCAUACACAUCGGACGCCACCUACGCAUCCUACACAUAUAUGGCCUAACUUAGAAGUUUUGCUUUCCCUUGACCCCAAAAACGUUUUUUGUGCUUUUAAGCCCAAAGUACUGCUUUGAGAAGGACUGAUUAAGGCGUUGUUGAACACUCACAUACCUCUAUUUGGAAUGCACGUGGAGCCAAUAAUACGGCCCGUCAGAGGCCCUAGGGCCGCUUUUCCCCUCUUACAAGCUCGUGGCCCUCGAAAGCUUGCUAUUCACUAUUUGCGACGGCUGGCCCAACUCGCUGCCGACAAGGUGAUAACAGUGAUGCACGACCGACUCGCAUUCCGGGGAAGCAAUUUAAGAUUAACGGUCAUUACAACAGGAAACAUGCUGUCUGCUGAGCAUCCAAGGAUGAGGUAUGGGGUGUUACUAAUCUGCUUCCAAAGCUCUCGGUUGGGUGCCCGUGCGGCCGGGCAAGUCGAAGGACUCGCCGGGCGUGCGGUCAACAUGGCCCUCGGAGCGCUUCCAGUUCGCGCUGCGCUUUGGAACGCCGUGCAAGCUUUCCCAGAACCUUGGCAGAUAGCCCGCUCAACACCACUAAGUCUAAAGGUUUCUGCCCGGACACACCAAAGGAAGCGCUCUUUCCCUUCCACCGGCUUUAUUCGCGUUGGCAACACCGAACCAUGGGUCAGUUAGGCGGCAAUAAGAAGCCAAGGAUGCCGGUGCUCGCAGUGCUGCUGCUGCUAGCAUUCACAGCAGCCGGUGAGGAAGUACGUCGGACCUUUGUGGGCUCCUCAAUACGUAACAGGGACACCGCGCAGUGCCCCGAACGAAGCAUCCUACCAGCUCCUCAUCCUCGGCGGUUUGCGGCCCCUUCGUAAACCUUUUGCGCCUUGGCUCCGCAACCGGUUGUCCCCUUGCCAUUGCCGCCGCCUCACAUUCCUCAUUUUCCCACUCCCAACCCACAACCCCUCCUGACCUGGCCCCUGCCGGGCCGCACCUUCCCCACACCCUCAGUCCGGCUCCAUGCCGCCGCACCGCCCGCUUCCGUUGUGGCGGUUGCUAAUCGGGACGCGGAGGGCGCCAUCGUACUGGACGCGGACGAGGCGCACAAUUUCCAGCCAAGCGCCGCCGCAUGCCGUGACAGCUGCCUCAACACCACCGGUUGCAAUGUGUGGGUGUGGUGUGGCGCCGUGAGUGGCUGCUCAUCAGGUGUCUCCUACACCCCUCGCGACCUCAGCAAGUGGGUGCAUUCCUGUGGAUCACUAUCAGGUGGCCCUCCCGCGCUGAAGAGAGUGACGACCGCCAUAAGAUGCGGGAGAGCUUGCAGGCUGCAGGAUUGAUGAAGAGGCCCCCCACGUGUGGCCUUGACAGCUUGCGACCUUGACAAGACGGGACCACUUAAUACGGAGGCGUGGUGUGGCGUGUCCUUAGCUUCCCGUCAUAAGGGGGUGUGGGAGGAGGGGAGUCGGUUACCGUUAUCAACCCCGUGCCGGUUGCGGCCGUACUUGGUAGUGCCGUACACCCUUGUUGCGGCGGUCGUUCACAGUCGCAUCACACUUUACAUCCACACACACACGGGGGUGUCUGGCCCAGCAUGGGUGGCCUCCGCCCCGUCCAUGCAUCUCGGGGUGCUGGAAGGAACCGGCAAGGGGUAGAGGUUGAUGGCCUUUGCCUUGUACGGCCCUGUUGGAAGCCGAGGUCCGCCCGCCUGCCUCUACUGCAGGUACCAACAGUGCUGGCUCAAGUACGACACGCCGCCAAAACAAGGUGCAUCCACCCGUGGCAUGUUUCUCCGGUUUAAGAAUGCCCCUGACCAGCCAUCUGGCUGGAUGAGCGGCACCACGGUCACAAACUUCACCGACAGUGCGCCCUUCCCCGAGGAAAACUUUGCAUGCGAGUGCCUCGCCAAAUACCAGUACCUUGACUACAGGUUCGAGGUCAGUGCUGUACAGCUCCUGCAGGCGGCCUUUUUGUGCAGCCACCCAGGUUCCCGGUCAUGUGGACAUGCAUGCAUGUUUCACAUCAUGAACACAUUGCAUGUGCCAUUCUGCUCCUUUCAGUCAUUACUAAAUGCUCUUGAUUCCGAGUUCUGAGUGACUGUGCCCCACCUGGUGCUGGACAAUUUGUAACCGUCGCACGGUAUGCAUGUGGCACUUGCACCCUUCAUCGCAGGGCAUGUGCGCCAAUCUUCAGGGUGGCGGUCCUGUAUGCGUGGGGAGCUCCAAUUGCAGUGCGGAUCUAAUUGGCACGUUUAAUUCUUGCCCGCUCGUUCCGUCCUGUACUGUGCUUCUGGACACCGACCUAAACGCCACGAAGGUGCGCACAUUUCACGGGAUUCAAUGCGCAAAAUUUAUAUCCAGGUGAACGUAUCGAAGCUGGAGCUUGGGACUUGCCAACCCUGGAACCUCUUGGUACUGGGGUGCGUUUGCAGACUUUGUGUUCAUAUCACCGUGUACCUGAUCUGUGAUUGGCACUGACCGAGAGCAGGGGGUCCAGCUCUUACUCUUUGUUUGUGAUAGAAAAGUAUGCACCGCUACUCCUGCACCAUUGCGGGCAGCAGCUAGAACCGGCAAAUCAGCGCUCAUAAUGCUGUUGCACGUCUGCAGUGCACGUCUGCAGUGUUCGUGCUGGUCCCUUGCGCCUCACAAGCAGCCCGUCACCCCGUCACCCCUGUCCGCUUUCGCAUCCUCCUCUCUCCAUGCAACGGCCAGAUCAUUACCCCCGGAGAUUAUAACACCGCCGACUCGGCAGAGGACUGCUGCUACCAAUGUGCCAGCACCCAGGUGUGACGGCUAGUAGGGGUGAUUGAUGUGGGCAAGUGGGAGGAAGAAGGGGAGACUAUGAACCCCCGAAACGAACUGCUUACGGUUGCCAAUCAGGGUGCGCUUCCUUCCAUGCAAGGUAUCUCCGUGCUUCUUCUUUGCACGCGUCUUUCUGCUCUCGCGCACAUGCAUGGCUGCUGUGCUUGCCUAUGUACCCUGACAGGGCUGCAACUUAUGGACCUGGUGCGCUGAUCCAACGGCUUGUAACGGCGAGCGGUACCGCUUCCGCCAGUGCUGGCUCAAGCAAGCCGACCCCAAGAACCCGCAGCCCAAGAAGGGAUACGGCGGCAGUCCCGGAUGGAUUAGCGGCGUGCGGCUGACCUGGAUGCCGAUGUGAAGCAGGAGAGCGAGGAUGAUGUGAUUCAUGUGGAUGCAGUCCAUCCGUCGCCUCGCUGCCAUGGAUGCCGUUUGAUGAUACUCCAGGUCUCGGGGUUGGCUGGAGAGUUUAUUUGGUUUCGGAACGCUCUGGAACGACGAUGCCGAAUAAAACAUGCAUCCGACCGUCAGCUGGAAAGGAGUUCUACCUCAAGUUAAUUUGCGGCUUGGAUAGCUAGCAAGCUGCUUAUUCGCGCCUCGGCUGAAAUACGUCCUGCAUCCAAGAUUCUUGCAAUAUGAAAUUCCAUAUGAUAAAGGAUGAUAAUAUCCUUUUGAUGCUUACCUUACUUCGUAGUGCGAAUGCCUGGCUGACAACUAUGAAGCUGACCGCCAACAAGGCCUGAUGAUGACAAAGCGCGGUGUAACACACAUGAAGGUUUUAGGUAGCAGUUAACCACACUUUUGGAACGGAACCG